rnacentral:rRNA from 1 species
AUUGAACGCUGGCGGCAUGCUUUACACAUGCAAGUCGAACGGCAGCACGGACUUCGGUCUGGUGGCGAGUGGCGAACGGGUGAGUAAUACAUCGGAACGUGCCCAGUUGUGGGGGAUAACUACUCGAAAGAGUAGCUAAUACCGCAUGAGAACUGAGGUUGAAAGCAGGGGAUCGCAAGACCUUGCGCAACUGGAGCGGCCGAUGGCAGAUUAGGUAGUUGGUGGGAUAAAAGCUUACCAAGCCGACGAUCUGUAGCUGGUCUGAGAGGACGACCAGCCACAGUGGGACGGAGAAAUGGCCCAGACUCCUACGGGAGGCAGCAGUGGGGAACUUUGGACAAUGGGCGAAAGCCUGAUCCAGCAAUGCCGCGUGCAGGAUGAAGGCCUUCGGGUUGUAAACUGCUUUUGUACGGAACGAAAAGCUUCGGGUUAAUACCCUGGAGUCAUGACGGUACCGUAAGAAUAAGCACCGGCUAACUACGUGCCAGCCGCCGCCGUAACAC